GGACUGAACCAGGACUAAACCAGGUCUGAACCAGGUCUAAACCAGGUCUAAACCAGGACUAAACCAGGACUAAACCAGGACUAAACCAGGACUGAACCAGGACUAAACCAGGACUAAACCAGGUCUAAACCAGGUCUAAACUCACACACUUCCAGGUCCUUCAGGCUUUAAUAAAGACGUGUUUUUAAAAAGGGCUAAAACUGAACUUCCCUUUAAGAGUUUGGACAAACAGGAGAGACGUUUACCGCAGGAGUUCAGCUUUAGAAAUAAUAAUCUCUUUAAUUUAUUCUUCCCCGAGUCGUUUUUGCAGUUUUAACGUAGAACCAGGAUCAAACUGUGUCCGUGUUUAGUUUCACGUUUCAUCUGCUGCUCUUUUUGUUAUUUAUCUGGUUUUCCUUUUGUUUUUCAGUUCUAAACUCAUCCUCCUGUUAGUAAAGUAUAGAGUUUUGUGCAGAAAAAAACAUCCGAUUUUAACAGAAAAACGUUGUAUUUUGUUGGGAAUAUUUUGGUGUUGCCGUGCCUCGUGUCAUACCAGACUUCUAAACCAAACUUUCAGAAUUUUGGAGUUUAUCCUCGGACAUUUUCGGAAUCUUUUGCUCAUUUUGUCCCAGUUUUGACUCCUGAAUGUGAGUGCGGUCGACGGCUCUUAUUUUAUUUAUUGAGCGAGUGUCUGUUAAACUUUUAUUUGUGGCAUGGAAAGAGCAUGACGCCGCUG
ensembl:lncRNA